CUCCUGCCCGCCACGUUUCCUUCCUGCUGGGGGGCUUCUGUUCUCCCAGACCGGGUCGGUGCUCUUUUCCCCCGGCGCCCCUCCCCCACCCAGCCCGGGCCUUGCCUGCCGCAGCCACCUUCUUCUCUGAUGCUGUGUCCUGGACUUGGUGACAAUGGCAAAUUGACAAGAAGGCGAGCCUGGGCCUUUCCUGCGGCGACAUCCAGCUUCCCCCGCCCCUCCCUGGGUGGGUGCCCACCACACGCCCAGCCUGCCGCGUGCUUAUCCAGGCCCUCCAGGCCAGGCCUCCGGGUCUUAUGGAAGAAGGCCCCGUGUCUGGGCAGUGCCGUGGCUGUGAGUGAGCAUCCGGGGCCAGUCAGAUGUGCCGUCUCCGGAGGUCACUUCCAUAGUGGCCAUCAACAGCUUGGCCAAACUCGGCCGCAGGAUCUUUUCCUAUCAAUUGCAGGAUGGACUCUUCCCGCAGCCAUGCGACCUGUGGCCCGCGGUCCUGCUCCCUGAGCUGGAGGAGGCUGAACAGAAUGAGCAGGUUGAGGCCUGUGGGAAGGAAGAGCCACAUCUCCUUCAUGUUUAUUACCCCCUCCGCAGGCCAUAGCUAGGAGGCCUUGAAGGUUUUUUUAAGGGGGAAAGGGGGUUUCCAGAACCACAGCCGGCUCAGCAGAAAGUCUCCACCAACAGAAUCUGUGGGCGCACAUUCCUCAACAGCUGAAGAAGGGGCUGGAGGGGCUCAUGGCAUCCCCUCCAGAGGCAGGCCCAGGGCCCUGUGUGCAGUGGGGGGUCCUGCAUCUGCAUUGUUGUUAAGAAAGUGACAUUUGGCUACAUGGAGUGACUCAUGCCUGUAAUCCCAGCACUUUGGGAGGCUGAAGCUGUCAGAUUGCUUGGGCCCAGGAGUUCGAGAUCAGCCUGGGCAACUUGGUGAAACCUCAUUUCUUUUUUUUUGAGACAGGGUCUCACUCUGUAGCCAAGACUGGAGUGCAGUGGCACAAUCUCGGCUCACCGCAACCUCCACUUCCCAGGCUCAAGUGAUUCUCCUGACUCAGCCUCCCGAGUAGCUGGGAUUACAGGUGUGCACCACCACGCCUGACUAAUUUUUGUAUUGUUAGUAGAGACGGGGUUUCACCAUGUUGGCCAGGUUGGUGUUGAACUCCUGACUUCAAAUGAUCCACCUGCCUUGGCCUCCCAAAGUGCUGGGAUUACAGGCCUGAGCCACUGCGCCCGGACUUUUUUUUUUUUUUGAGAUGGAGUUUCGCUCUGUCACCCAGGCUGGAGUGUGGUGGCAUGAUCUCGGCUCACUGCAACCUCCACCUCCCAGGGUCAAGUGAUUCUCCUGGGUCAGCCUCCGGAGUAGCUGGGAUUACAGUUUUUCUUCCCAGGGUCUCCCCAAGAGCUGCUUCCUUUGACUCCUGCUGUGUGUAGUUCUGCUGACAAUGACCUGGACAGCUCUGCGCCAUGCACAGCGUCUCUUUUCUCCGACUUACCAAAUUUUAGACACUACUGACUCCUCCAUGUGAAAGAUGGGAAUUCAGCUACAUCACAUUACCCUACAAACUUUAUUGUUAAUAUUUCUUCCCGGUCAGCCCCAAACACUGAAUGUAAAUACGGUCCAACAUCAACCUGCAAACGAACACUGACAUGAAAGUGCAGUUGGAAAGGAUCUCGCAAAGGAACAGAAUCUGGUGAUCCUAAUCGUAAUGAACGUGAUCGCCGGGUAUUGAGAGCUUGCAGGUACCAGGGCUCCGGCACUACGUGUUUCACAGGGGCCACUCGGUAGACCUCUUGGUGACCUUGAGGUCAGGUACCACGUUCCCAUUUUACAGAGGAGGAAACUGAGAUAACCUACGACAGCGAAAAGGUAGCAGAGCUGGGACUGGUGCCCAGGCUCGCCGAGUGGAAAAGCCCUCGGCCACCGUGGAGAGCUCGCUUCCUGUGGUCUGAAGCGUCGCCCCUGCACCGGCUUCUGCUGCCAAGGAUGGCUUUUCCUCACUGGUGCCCACCUACGCUCACUUGUGUCAUGUGGUUAAGCCCUUUUGGCAACAUAAGACCUUUCCCAAGAAUGUGCCUCGGUGCAGAGGAAGACGGUGGGGGCAGGCCCCCUCCCCGGGAUGCUCCACCCUCCCUGACCUCACACGGGUGCAACCUGGGCCGUGGCCGAGACCUGCUGUGUGGCAGACAAUGGGAAGCCUGUGUGUCGUCCUGGGUGCCGGAUUUAGACAAUAUUUAGCUUUCCCUUGGUGGAAAAGCCUUUCCCCUCCUGCUUUGGGCAGGAACUGGUUCCUGUUGGGCGGGGCCUGGCUGCUGCCCCACCCCCACCCGGCCGGGCACCUUGACCGGCAGCUCUCCGGGCUGCUCCCUGCCUGUGUCCCUGAGCACUGACUCCAGAGGUUUAAUCAUUAACGGGCACGUUUGGCCUUCGGUCGUGGGCUGGAAUUUGGGACCUGUGCCCGGGAACAAUGAUCUCCGACACAUUAUUUUGUGUAAAAUCACUUUUAGCUGCCAUUAGCUAAUAAAGCUGGAAUAAAGUGAGGUCCAUUAACCAGCA
rnacentral:lncRNA from 1 species